rnacentral:rRNA from 1 species
CGGCAAGGCGGCAGCUUACACAUGCAAGUCGAGCGGGGGAGGUAGCUUGCUACCGGACCUAGCGGCGGACGGGUGAGUAAUGCUUAGGAAUCUGCCUAUUAGUGGGGGACAACAUCUCGAAAGGGAUGCUAAUACCGCAUACGUCCUACGGGAGAAAGCAGGGGAUCUUCGGACCUUGCGCUAAUAGAUGAGCCUAAGUCGGAUUAGCUAGUUGGUGGGGUAAAGGCCUACCAAGGCGACGAUCUGUAGCGGGUCUGAGAGGAUGAUCCGCCACACUGGGACUGAGACACGGCCCAGACUCCUACGGGAGGCAGCAGUGGGGAAUAUUGGACAAUGGGGGGAACCCUGAUCCAGCCAUGCCGCGUGUGUGAAGAAGGCCUUAUGGUUGUAAAGCACUUUAAGCGAGGAGGAGGCUACUUUAGUUAAUACCUAGAGAUAGUGGACGUUACUCGCAGAAUAAGCACCGGCUAACUCUGUGCCAGCAGCCGCGGUAAUACAGAGGGUGCGAGCGUUAAUCGGAUUUACUGGGCGUAAAGCGUGCGUAGGCGGCUUAUUAAGUCGGAUGUGAAAUCCCCGAGCUUAACUUGGGAAUUGCAUUCGAUACUGGUGAGCUAGAGUAUGGGAGAGGAUGGUAGAAUUCCAGGUGUAGCGGUGAAAUGCGUAGAGAUCUGGAGGAAUACCGAUGGCGAAGGCAGCCAUCUGGCCUAAUACUGACGCUGAGGUACGAAAGCAUGGGGAGCAAACAGGAUUAGAUACCCUGGUAGUCCAUGCCGUAAACGAUGUCUACUAGCCGUUGGGGCCUUUGAGGCUUUAGUGGCGCAGCUAACGCGAUAAGUAGACCGCCUGGGGAGUACGGUCGCAAGACUAAAACUCAAAUGAAUUGACGGGGCCCGCACAAGCGGUGGAGCAUGUGGUUUCAUUUCGAUGCACGCAAGAACCUUACCUGGCCUUGGACAUACUAGAAACUUUCCAGAGAUGGAUGUUGCCUUCGGGAAUCUAG